rnacentral:rRNA from 1 species
AUGCCUGGGGUGAUCGACGCGGACUACCGCUGCCCGGUGGGUGUCGUGCUCUUCAAUCACUCGGAGGCAGAUUUCGCCAUGAAGCCCGGCAGCCACAUCGCACAGAUGAUCGUCCAUGUGAUCGCAACGCCGGAGGUCGCCGAGGUGGAGGACCUCGACACCACCGUCCUAGGAGAGUGA